rnacentral:rRNA from 1 species
GAUCCUGGCUCAGGAUGAACGCUAGCGACAGGCCUAACACAUGCAAGUCGAGGGGCAGCGGAGAGGUAGCAAUACCUUUGCCGGCGACCGGCGCACGGGUGAGUAACACGUAUGCAAUCCACCUGUAACAGGGGGAGUAACCCGGAGAAAUCCGGACUAAUACCCCACUAAUAUGGGUUCUCCGCAUGGAGGGUCCAUUAAAGAGAGCAAUUUUGGUUACAGACGAGCAUGCGCUCCAUUAG